rnacentral:rRNA from 1 species
AGAGUUUGAUUAUGGCUCAGGAUGAACGCUAGCGGCAGGCUUAACACAUGCAAGUCGAGGGGCAGCACGAUGUAGCAAUACAUUGGUGGCGACCGGCGCACGGGUGCGUAACGCGUAUGCAACCUACCUUUUACAGGGGAAUAACCCGGAGAAAUUCGGACUAAUACCGCAUAAUAUUAAAGUAUGGCAUCAUAUUUUGAUUAAAGAUUUAUUGGUAAAAGAUGGGCAUGCGUGACAUUAGCUAGAUGGUAAGGUAACGGCUUACCAUGGCGACGAUGUCUAGGGGUUCUGAGAGGAAGGUCCCCCACACUGGUACUGAGACACGGACCAGACUCCUACGGGAGGCAGCAGUGAGGAAUAUUGGUCAAUGGGCGAGAGCCUGAACCAGCCAUGCCGCGUGAAGGAAGACGGCGCUACGCGUUGUAAACUUCUUUUUUAAGGGAAUAACCAUAGGUUUGCGAACCUGUCUGUAUGUACCUUAAGAAUAAGCAUCGGCUAACUCCGUGCCAGCAGCCGCGGUAAUACGGAGGAUGCAAGCGUUAUCCGGAUUCACUGGGUUUAAAGGGUGCGUAGGCGGUUUAGUAAGUCAGCGGUGAAAUACCUUUGCUCAACAAAGGAGGUGCCGUUGAUACUGUUAGACUAGAAUACAGUUGACGUGGGUGGAAUAUGUCAUGUAGCGGUGAAAUGCAUAGAUAUGACAUAGAACGCCGAUCGGGAAGCCAGCUCACGAAGCUGAUAUUGACGCUGAUGCACGAAAGCGUGGGGAUCAAACAGGAUUAGAUACCCUGGUAGUCCACGCAGUAAACGAUGAUAACUCGUUGUCGGCGAUACACAGUCGGUGACUAAGCGAAAGUGAUAAGUUAUCCACCUGGGGAGUACGUUCGCAAGAAUGAAACUCAAAGGAAUUGACGGGGGCUCGCACAAGCGGAGGAGCAUGUGGUUUAAUUCGAUGAUACGCGAGGAAUCUUACUCGGGCUCGA